GCCGAAAAACAAAAGAAAGCUUGCUCUUAGAGCUAUAAAUUGAACUUGCCACAUUAAGCAACGCACAAGGGUUUUAGUUAGAGAAGAACAUGUGCAUGCAAUUUCGCAAAUCAUAACAUCAUAAUAAAGUAACUGCGCAGUUUAAACAUUCAUUAUGUAUGUACCACAUCCACUACUCAUCAUUAAAGGUACUGAGAAGUAGGCCUCCCUCUCAAGUACCGUGACCGGCCGACCCGAUAGACGGCUCACAGUCACCUCUGUGCACAAAAUCCCGCUUGUGGCAGGACCGAAUUCGUCUCAACAGUAGAGGGUAACACACAAGUCAUUAUUAACAAAACUCGGCAAGUCAAUUAGUUUCAAGCAUAACAUUAACUCAAUUCAUAAUCAUAAAUAUCAUAUCAUUUAAGAAAGCUCGUAUAAUAGGUAUAUCAAAAUAAUGCCCACCUGACAAACUUAGCUUACUCUCGUAGUACUUGGACGAUCUUACCUCCGUCCUCUGCUCGUAUCUUCAGAUGUCACAAUGUCGGAGUGGUUCAUGAGAUAAGAUAAACCUCAGUUAGAAACUCAUUUACUAAAAUCCAAUCUCGUCUCAAACUUUAACUUAUCACUCAUCUUCUAUUUACCCAAAUAAAUCUCAAUCCCUAGGUAUACUUAACUCCUAAGGAUUCACAAGUCCUACUCUCGACUUAACACUCAACUCGAAUUAAACCCAUAGCAAUCAAGCACAUAAACAAGCAUAAUCACAUAAACAUAUAAAUUCACACAUAGACAUGUCACAAACAAACAUCAUUCUGCACUGACUCGAUUUAAAGACUUCACCAGAUUCGGUACAGAGCUCCACUGGAGUCAUGACCUAUACCAUUUAAAACCUCUUUGAGUCUAGUUUCAUUCAAAAAAAGUAGGAUGAAAAACUCCAAGUAGUUUAGGAGAUAUGACUGUUUUCCUACAGUCUACCAUAUUCGGCAGUUUUGAGCAAUUGAAAACUUUGAUUUUUGAAAAAUAGUAAACGUUGCCGAAAAGGCUUGAAAUUUGGUGGGUACUUAUAUAAGACACUCAUGUCUUAAAAAUAAAAAUUUAGGCUCCAAAAAGUUAGGGAAGGACACUGGAAGAGGUGACUCUAUUGGAUACUCACCGAACAUUUCGGCAGAAGGUAGCAGUUUUAGUUUUCUAUUUUAUAAAAAUAGUAAACAAAGUCCAAUUGACUUGAAAUUUUACCGGUAUGCUCCUGACUCUUAUUUAAUCUUACCAUAAAAUUUUCAAGGUCUUUGGGUAACAAGAACCCAACGAAACAGUAGGUAUAAAAGGUCAUAAAAUGACUCCAAACUUGAACAUACAAGCAAUUAUACCUAGACUUUGGAUUUCUUCGAUGCAAAAUUCUCAAAAAUUCAAAUUAAGCUCACAUAAUACACAAUAACAUAAAUACAUAAUCAUAUAACUCAAGAAAAUUCAAACAUCGACUUCCCCUUUUUCUCCCUACAUUCGGCCAACACAUAGGUCAUUAGGGGUUGGUCCGUUUCGUCUCAUAUUGCAUAUAUAAGCUCAAAUAAUCAUCAAAAAGCCACAUAUAGACAUGCUUGGCUCAUAACUCAUCUUAUAUACAUGAUCUCAUGUAUGCACGCAAACUAAACUCGGAAAAUUUUCACAAAUCAACAUCAUUAACCAAUUUAAUCAUGCUUUCUCCUUGCUAGUAGUCUAACUAUCAUAUAAACAUCAUCAAUUCAAGUAUUUAUUUCAUUACUCAAAAGUUCCCAAUUACUAGCAAACUAAACUUAACCAAUUUUAGGCAUUCUUGACAAUUAACCAAAUUGAUCCCUAAUUAUCAUUUCUAUCAUGCUUAAUAACAAUUAAACUUAGCCAAUUUAAUCAAUUAACACAUAGAUCACAAAGUCCCAAUUUUUAACAAACUAAACUUUUUGAAAAUUUGUAAACAUGCAUAAAUCAUUAAUCCAACCUUAGAUCUAUCAAAUUGACACACUUAAUAGCAUAAAUAAACAAUCAAUUAGUAAAUUAAACCAUAGAAUCAAUUUUACCCAAAUUACAUCAAACUAACUCAUAUCAAAAAUUACUAAUCAAUUUCAACCAUCAAUCCAAUCCAUCAAAUCUCAUAUAAACACUCUCAAUAUCAUAUAUCAUCCAUCAAUUCAUCAAUCAAGCCUCAAAUACAAAACUUCCCAAAUUUACACAAACUAAACUAUUUCAAAUCUCAUAUCUCUUUUUAAUUCAAUUAUCUACACAUGGAAAUAGACUAAUUAGGCACCCAAUAGUAUUUAAAUAACAUCAAUUUAAGAAAAGGAAAAGAAAAAAUUUUUUUGAAGGGUAAAAGACCCAAAUUUUCGAAAAUCACAAAGAAGGGAUAGGGGUGUUUUCUUGCUUGAUCUAUCCAUAUAUACACAUAUACAACACAUUUAAGUCUAGAUCUAAAAGGAUUCAUCACUUACUCAAGGAUUUGAACAAAAAUAAAAAUCUCCUCUUUUGCUUCAAAUCUUGAAAACUCCUCCAAAAUUUGCUCUUGAUUCAAGGCUAUAGAUGUUUAAAGCUUGAAUUUGAUGGAGAUCUAUGGUGUAGAGAUGAUCUUAGAAGCUUGGAAAGAUCAUCAAUGGUGGUAGAGAGAGAAAAGAAAGUGAGAAGGAAGAGAGAAAUGAGAGGGAUCGAAAAUGAGGGGGAGGGAAGAGAGAGAGAUGUUUUGUUUAAAGCUUAAACUUGCUCACUAAGCUACUAAUUUAGCUUCUCCAACACUUCACACAUGCAACUUGCCCACUAAGUCAUCCAAUUAAUUAAUGCAAAAUUAAACUCUCACAUGUGGCUUGCUAAAUACUACACUAAUUAAUGAGAUCAAGCUUGUAGGAAAAGCUAAGUUAGGGAAAAUCACUUACUAAUUAAAAACCAUAAAUCAAUAUCAUCUAAUAGUGUGAUCCAAUAAUUAAUCAUAAUUAGAAUACACCUAAUUCACAUCACAUCUAGCUCAUUAAAAUAAAUUCCAAUAAAUUCCAAUAGGAGAAAUUUAUAAUAUAAAAGUGAGAUUACAAUUCACCAUUUUUUUUUAAAAAAAAAUUAUCUCUAUGUUACAACAUCCAAGAAAAAUUAUAAAUCAAACAAUCUCAAAUAUGUCAUCACGUAGGUCACAUAAAAAAAAUAUCAAUUUUUCUCACUCAAACAUGACCUCUCAAUCAGUCAAAAUCUAACAAAAAUUUAACUGUCUCAUGAAUUCGACUCAUCUCUAUAGUAAGUCUCACUCACUCACCUCGGCUCUAUAUCUAGCCAGGUAUCCUCUUAACUUAACAUUGUAAAUCGUCUCAAUAAUAAUUAAGCUUUCUUUAUCGGAAGCAUAAACUACAUCAUCUCCUCAAUUUAAUCAGCAUUUCUAUCAAAAACUCAUUCUAUAAAAAAAAAUUCACCCACUAGUUCUAUCAUCAACUUCUAAAAUACUCACAUCUCAAUCUUAAAAAAAAUUUCUCAUCCUUAAUAAGCUAAUGCUAGAAUCUCGACACUCUAAUAGCGAAUCCUCAAAAUAAAUAGUAUGGAAAACUGCGGGGUGUUACAUCCUACCCCCCUUAAAAAAAAUUUCGUCCCGAAAUUUGUGUUACUC
rnacentral:lncRNA from 1 species